rnacentral:rRNA from 1 species
CCUACGGGAGGCAGCAGUCGAGAAUCAUUCACAAUGGGGGAAACCCUGAUGGUGCGACGCCGCGUGGGGGAAUGAAGGUCUUCGGAUUGUAAACCCCUGUCAUGUGGGAGCAAAUUAAAAAGAUAGUACCACACGGGGAAGAGACGGCUAACUCUGUGCCAGCAGCCGCGGUAAUACAGAGGUCUCAAGCGUUGUUCGGAAUCACUGGGCGUAAAGCGUGCGUAGGCUGUUUCGUAAGUCGGGUGUGAAAGGCGCGGGCUCAACCCGCGGACGGCACAUGAUACUGCGAGACUAGAGUAAUGGAGGGGGAACCGGAAUUCUCGGUGUAGCAGUGAAAUGCGUAGAUAUCGAGAGGAACACUCGUGGCGAAGGCGGGUUCCUGGACAUUAACUGACGCUGAGGCACGAAGGCCAGGGGAGCGAAAGGGAUUAGAUACCCUAGUAGUC